rnacentral:rRNA from 1 species
UUGGUUAAGUUAGAAAGGGCGCACGGUGGAUGCCUUGGCACUAGGAGCCGAAGAAGGACGGGACUAACACCGAUAUGCUUUGGGGAGCUGUACGUAAGCGUUGAUCCAGAGAUUUCCGAAUGGGGGAACCCACUAUCUUUAGUCGGAUAGUAUCCUUACGUGAAUACAUAGCGUGAGGAAGGCAGACCCAGGGAACUGAAACAUCUAAGUACCUGGAGGAAGAGAAAGAAAAAUCGAUUUCCUGAGUAGCGGCGAGCGAAACGGAAAGAGCCCAAACCAAGAAGCUUGCUUCUUGGGGUUGUAGGACACUCUAUACGGAGUUACAAAAGAAAGUUAUAAAUGAAGCGGUCUGGAAAGGCCCGCCAAAGACGGUAACAGCCCGGUAGUUGAAAUGGCUUUCCCUCCAGAGUGGAUCCUGAGUACGGCGGAACACGUGAAAUUCCGUCGGAAUCCGGGAGGACCAUCUCCCAAGGCUAAAUACUCCCUAGUGACCGAUAGUGAACCAGUACCGUGAGGGAAAGGUGAAAAGCACCCCGGAAGGGGAGUGAAACAGUUCCUGAAACCGUGUGCCUACAAGUAGUUAGAGCCCGUUAAUGGGUGAUAGCGUGCCUUUUGUAGAAUGAACCGGCGAGUUACGAUUUGUUGCAAGGUUAAGCGGAAAAAGCGGAGCCGUAGCGAAAGCGAGUCUGAAUAGGGCGCAUAAGUAACAGGUCGUAGACCCGAAACCAGGUGAUCUACCCAUGUCCAGGAUGAAGGUAAGGUAAUACUUACUGGAGGUCCGAACCCACGCACGUUGAAAAGUGCGGGGAUGAGGUGUGGGUAGCGGAGAAAUUCCAAUCGAACUUGGAGAUAGCUGGUUCUCUCCGAAAUAGCUUUAGGGCUAGCCUCGAGGUAAAGAGUCAUGGAGGUAGAGCACUGUUUGGACUAGGGGCCCUUCUCGGGUUACCGAAUUCAGAUAAACUCCGAAUGCCAUGUACUUAUACUCGGGAGUCAGACUGCGAGUGAUAAGAUCCGUAGUCGAAAGGGAAACAGCCCAGACCACCAGUUAAGGUCCCCAAAUAUAUGUUAAGUGGAAAAGGAUGUGGGGUUGCUUAGACAACCAGGAUGUUGGCUUAGAAGCAGCCACCAUUGAAAGAGUGCGUAAUAGCUCACUGGUCGAGUGACCCCGCGCCGAAAAUGUACCGGGGCUAAACAUAUUACCGAAACUGUGGAUGAACCUCUUUAGAGGUUCGUGGUAGGAGAGCGUUCUAAGGGCGGUGAAGUCAGACCGGAAGGACUGGUGGAGCGCUUAGAAGUGAGAAUGCCGGUAUGAGUAGCGAAAGAAGGGUGAGAAUCCCUUCCACCGAAUAUCUAAGGUUUCCUGAGGAAGGCUCGUCCGCUCAGGGUUAGUCGGGACCUAAGCCGAGGCCGAUAGGCGUAGGCGAUGGACAACAGGUAGAGAUUCCUGUACCAGUGCUAAUUGUUUAACCGAUGGGGUGACACAGAAGGAUAGGGAAUCGCACGAAUGGAAAUGUGCGUCCAAGCAGUGAGUGUGAGAAGUAGGCAAAUCCGCUUCUCGCGAAGCAUGAGCUGUGAUGGGGAAGGAAAUUAAGUACGGAAGUUCCUGAUUUCACGCUGUCAAGAAAAG